rnacentral:rRNA from 1 species
UACGUAGGGUGCAAGCGUUAAUCGGAAUUACUGGGCGUAAAGCGUGCGCAGGCGGUUGUGUAAGUCUGAUGUGAAAUCCCCGGGCUCAACCUGGGAAUUGCAUUGGAGACUGCAAGGCUAGAAUCUGGCAGAGGGGGGUAGAAUUCCACGUGUAGCAGUGAAAUGCGUAGAGAUGUGGAGGAACACCGAUGGCGAAGGCAGCCCCCUGGGUCAAGAUUGACGCUCAUGCACGAAAGCGUGGGGAGCAAACAGG